ensembl:snRNA Gm26062 predicted gene, 26062
GUGCUCGUUUCAGCAGCACAUAUACUAAAAUUGGGACAAUACAAAGAAAAUUAGUACGGCCCCUGCGCAAAGAUGACACGCAAGUUUGUGAAGCAUUCCCUAUUUUU